UACGGGGGGAGCAAGCGUUGUUCGGAUUUACUGGGCGUAAAGAGCUCGUAGGUGGUUUGGUAAGUCGGAUGUGAAAUCUCCAGGCUCAACCUGGAGGGGUCAUUCGAUACUGCCAUGACUAGAGGUCGGUAGGGGAGUGUGGAAUUCCUGGUGGAGCGGUGAAAUGCGCAGAUAUCAGGAGGAACACCCGUAGCGAAGGCGGCACUCUGGGCCGAUUCUGACACUGAGGAGCGAAAGCGUGGGGAGCGAACAGG
rnacentral:rRNA from 1 species